rnacentral:tRNA from 1 species
GCCUGGAUAGCUCAGUUGGUAAGAGCAUGGUACUGAUAAUGCCAAGGUUGCAGGUUUGAUCCCCGUAUGGGACA